GAUGAACGCUGGCGGCGUGCCUAAUACAUGCAAGUCGAGCGAACGGACGAGAAGCUUGCUUCUCUGAUGUUAGCGGCGGACGGGUGAGUAACACGUGGAUAACCUACCUAUAAGACUGGGAUAACUUCGGGAAACCGGAGCUAAUACCGGAUAAUAUUUUGAACCGCAUGGUUCAAAAGUGAAAGACGGUCUUGCUGUCACUUAUAGAUGGAUCCGCGCUGCAUUAGCUAGUUGGUAAGGUAACGGCUUACCAAGGCAACGAUGCAUAGCCGACCUGAGAGGGUGAUCGGCCACACUGGAACUGAGACACGGUCCAGACUCCUACGGGAGGCAGCAGUAGGGAAUCUUCCGCAAUGGGCGAAAGCCUGACGGAGCAACGCCGCGUGAGUGAUGAAGGUCUUCGGAUCGCAAAACUCUGUUAUUAGGGAAGAACAUAUGUGUAAGUAACUGUGCACAUCUUGACGGUACCUAAUCAGAAAGCCACGGCUAACUACGUGCCAGCAGCCGCGGUAAUACGUAGGUGGCAAGCGUUAUCCGGAAUUAUUGGGCGUAAAGCGCGCGUAGGCGGUUUUUUAAGUCUGAUGUGAAAGCCCACGGCUCAACCGUGGAGGGUCAUUGGAAACUGGAAAACUUGAGUGCAGAAGAGGAAAGUGGAAUUCCAUGUGUAGCGGUGAAAUGCGCAGAGAUAUGGAGGAACACCAGUGGCGAAGGCGACUUUCUGGUCUGUAACUGACGCUGAUGUGCGAAAGCGUGGGGAUCAAACAGGAUUAGAUACCCUGGUAGUCCACGCCGUAAACGAUGAGUGCUAAGUGUUAGGGGGUUUCCGCCCCUUAGUGCUGCAGCUAACGCAUUAAGCACUCCGCCUGGGGAGUACGACCGCAAGGUUGAAACUCAAAGGAAUUGACGGGGACCCGCACAAGCGGUGGAGCAUGUGGUUUAAUUCGAAGCAACGCGAAGAACCUUACCAAAUCUUGACAUCCUUUGACAACUCUAGAGAUAGAGCCUUCCCCUUCGGGGGACAAAGUGACAGGUGGUGCAUGGUUGUCGUCAGCUCGUGUCGUGAGAUGUUGGGUUAAGUCCCGCAACGAGCGCAACCCUUAAGCUUAGUUGCCAUCAUUAAGUUGGGCACUCUAAGUUGACUGCCGGUGACAAACCGGAGGAAGGUGGGGAUGACGUCAAAUCAUCAUGCCCCUUAUGAUUUGGGCUACACACGUGCUACAAUGGACAAUACAAAGGGCAGCGAAACCGCGAGGUCAAGCAAAUCCCAUAAAGUUGUUCUCAGUUCGGAUUGUAGUCUGCAACUCGACUACAUGAAGCUGGAAUCGCUAGUAAUCGUAGAUCAGCAUGCUACGGUGAAUACGUUCCCGGGUCU
rnacentral:rRNA from 1 species